UACGGAGGGGGCUAGCGUUGUUCGGAAUUACUGGGCGUAAAGCGCACGUAGGCGGCCGUUUAAGUUAGAGGUGAAAGCCCGGGGCUCAACCCCGGAAUUGCCUUUGAUACUGGAUGGCUUGAAUCCAGGAGAGGUGAGUGGAAUUCCGAGUGUAGAGGUGAAAUUCGUAGAUAUUCGGAAGAACACCAGUGGCGAAGGCGGCUCACUGGACUGGUAUUGACGCUGAGGUGCGAAAGCAUGGGGAGCAAACAGG
rnacentral:rRNA from 1 species